AGUGAACGCUGGCGGUAGGCCUAACACAUGCAAGUCGAACGGCAGCACAGUAAGAGCUUGCUCUUACGGGUGGCGAGUGGCGGACGGGUGAGGAAUACAUCGGAAUCUACUUUUUCGUGGGGGAUAACGUAGGGAAACUUACGCUAAUACCGCAUACGACCUACGGGUGAAAGCAGGGGAUCUUCGGACCUUGCGCGAUUGAAUGAGCCGAUGGCGGAUUAGCUAGUUGGCGGGGUAAAGGCCCACCAAGGCGACGAUCCGUAGCUGGUCUGAGAGGAUGAUCAGCCACACUGGAACUGAGACACGGUCCAGACUCCUACGGGAGGCAGCAGUGGGGAAUAUUGGACAAUGGGCGCAAGCCUGAUCCAGCCAUACCGCGUGGGUGAAGAAGGCCUUCGGGUUGUAAAGCCCUGUUGUUGGGAAAGAAAAGCAGCAGGUUAAUACCCCGCUGUUCUGACGGUACCCAAAGAAUAAGCACCGGCUAACUUCGUG
rnacentral:rRNA from 1 species